AUCUGAAUUUGGGGAGAACAUAAGUCCAUGACACAUGUGUACAAAACUUUCAUUGUGAUAUUAGUGUCAUAAUAAUAAUAUAUAACAACAUACAACAGAGCAACCAACAAGCUUAACACCUGAGAAAAGAUAGGUGCCUCCCAGAAGUAACAAACAUGAGUACUUGAUUACCUAGGGCACACAUAGCACAGACCAAGAUAUAAUCGCCUUGAAAGUGGAUGAAAAGAAUGCAGCUGAAACAUUUAUCAAAUUAUUGGAGGCCAAAUGUGAACACUAGUGAAGAUCAACUGUGGUUGGAGAAAUGAAGAACAGCAAAACUCUAACCCCGGGACAAGUACAAGAUUACUGAGAAA
rnacentral:lncRNA from 1 species